GAUGAAUGCUGGCGGCGUGCCUAACACAUGCAAGUCGAGCGGUAAGGCCCUUCGGGGUACACGAGCGGCGGACGGCUGAGUAACGCGUGGGAAUUUGCCCCAAAGUGAGGAAUAACUGCCCGAAAGGGUAGCUAAUGCCGCAUAUGGUCUUCGGAUUAAAGGAUUUAUCCGCUUUGGGAGAAGCCCGCGUUGGAUUAGGUAGUUGGUGAGAUAAAAGCUCACCAAGCCAACGAUCCAUAGCUGGUCUGAGAGGAUGACCAGCCAGACUGGAACUGAGACACGGUCCAGACUCCUACGGGAGGCAGCAGUGAGGAAUCUUCCACAAUGGGCGAAAGCCUGAUGGAGCAACGCCGCGUGCAGGAUGAAGGCCUUCGGGUCGUAAACUGCUUUUAUGAGUGAAGAAUAUGACGGUAACUCAUGAAUAAGCACCGGCUAACUACGUGCCAGCCGCCGCCGUAA
rnacentral:rRNA from 1 species